rnacentral:guide_RNA from 1 species
AUACAAAUCAAAACAUUCGUGAGUUCAAUGAUAGAAAUGUGUGAUAAAU